rnacentral:lncRNA from 1 species
AAAGAUGAGAGAUGAGGGGGAAACAGUCGUACCCGAACUUCAGUUUUCUUUCUUCUCAAAACAAUAACAAAAACCAACCAUAGAGCCAACAACAAGUUUUGUACUGGUUACUAACCAGCCAUAACAUUACCUAUUUGAGUCCUGUUAGGACUCUACAAAACAAUAAAGAAAACAAAUAACCUUUGGUACUGUAACUUGAACAAUACAUGCUACAAUAACACGAGCACUAAAAUCCCAAGUAAUUUUUCUAUUUAUGACCCAUUAGAACUUUGCUUGCCAUUUAAAAUCACUGCAUAAUUCUGCAAUCUUCCCUGCUCUGAACUCUUGAAGCCAUAAAUCCUUCUCCCUUUAAUCAUUUAGCACUAAUCAUGUUCUCUACUAACGUAUCACAUUAGGACCCAUAAACAACUCAUGCUGCAUUGCUUUUUCUUUUGAAUUACAAAAAUACAACCAGAACUGUCCUGAUCUCAGGAUUCUGGACAGCAAGCAAAUAGAUUGCUCUAAAACCUUAUCUCACCUAUUGUAAGGGCCCACUUAC